AGGACACUCAGGUUUUGGGAUCUGGGUGCUCUCCCGACUAUAAUAUAAUAACCUGAAUAAAGUCAGUUUGCUUACCGGCUUAGGUCUUUGUCUCUGACAAUUUGCCUCUGUGACGUGGAUGGGACUGGAAGUCCAUUUGGAGCCCUGUCUUCUCCACCUAGGGAGAGAGACCCCAUGAGCUCGUCAAGCUCCUUCUGUGACUGAUCAGAGAUCCCACCGUGAGUCCAGCUCCUGGUCCCAUGCUCUGGAUAUAUCGGUCCCUGGCAGCGUGGCUCCAUCUCCGUAGCCUGCUUUUGACAAAAGUGGAUACAUAAAUCUAGGGGCCACCUAGCUAGUUCUAAUAAGACUUUGGAAGUCAAAAGCUAAAGAAGACCAGGGGACCAAGCUGGAAAUCAGGCUCUGCAAUCAGAUUCCAGAGGGAAUGCCAUUCCACCCAAUCACCUAGCCACAACGGUUCCCUUCCUUCAAGAUGCUGCAUGCCUCUUCAGGCGAAUGGAUUACCUUGUAAGAGUGACCUGAAAAAGCGUUAGCCCAGCCACACCGAGGCUUAACUGAGCCAUUUGAUUCUCACUGCCUCUCUCUGUUGCUUCCUCUUGCUUUCAACUACAGGGUCUUUCUGUUUAGGUGGUGAAAAAAAUGAUCGUUAAAAACAAUAAACCUGGGGACCUCUGAUACCAUGAGCCCAGCCAGAGAUCUGUGUCAAGCAAAUCCUUGCAGACAGUUCUGCCAGCCUGCAGAUGGCUGUUUGCCUCUCGUGGAUUUGAUAAGUGCUCAUUUAUGCCCAGAGGCCUCUGGGAGAUAGUGCUCAUGCUGAGCUUACAAACUGAAAACCAUUAUCUGUUCCUUACCUGAGACCCUGGGGAGCAGUCAGCUCACUCCCUGCCGAUGGCCUAAGAUAGGUACUGAUGUUACAGUUGAGGAAUAUCUAGGAGUAACAAACUUAAGUAGCUGGAAUAUGCCAAUUUUGACAAUUUGACAACAUCAUUAUAAACAUUCUGAAGUAC
rnacentral:lncRNA from 1 species